GGGAUGGAACCGAAAACCAGGAGGAACAUGUGAAAAAGAGUGCAUGUUCUCAGGUUGUUGAUGAGUUGAGUCCUGUAUUCCAUUCAACUAAUACAGUAGGAAUUUAGGAUCUUAUAGUUUCAUGUAUCAAUCUUAUAAGAGGCGAAAUCAUCCUUCUCAACAAAAUAGGUGCAAACAGCCUCAUUCCACUUCAUUUGAACAUCUUUUCUUACUAAAGCAAUCGUCUGUUUAGUGGAUAUUAAAAAUGUGUGUGCGUAUUAGAACUCGUUCGAUUAACUUGCUAAAUACCAAGAUGCAAGUUAUGAAUUGAGCAAAACAGCACAUAAAAUAUAAAACUUGCGAUUUUAGUGAGUUAUUAUUCAAGCAAAAAGUAUUCCUUAUCUAAGGAAAUGAAUGGAAAAAACUAUAGAUUUAAGGCCUCCAAUGAAGACACUGUAAUAUGUAUUUCUCUCUGAUUGCUUACAAUUUUAUCAAAUGAAAUUGAUAGAAAGAAAUAUAUAAAUUAAUUAAUAAAAUUCUUGUGCAUAAUAUGAAUGGAGUAAGAAUUUCAGACCAAAAUGAAAAUUUCAGGUUCAAUGACAUGUAUGGAUUGUGCUGGUGACCUUGGACCAAAUUGCGUGGAAGAAUAUCAAAUGUUAGAACGAAAAAGGGAGAAUUUAAUUAUGAAAUCUUCAUGUUGGAUGAAUAAAUUUUCUUUGUUGAGGUUUCUUCAGAGUACAACAACCAAAAGUGUCUUAUCUCUCUAUGUUUAAUCAUUACCCAAAGGAGAUUAUCUAGUAAGUUUUUGCAUAUGUAAACAGGAACCAAAAGUCUCCUGGCAUGGAAAAUGAGUGCCAUCAUACUUAUUAGAUAUACAUGUUGAAUGAGAGUUCUCCUAUAGCUGGGGAAGCCUUACCUAUAUGAUGUGAUUAUUAAUAAUUCCUAGGGACAUCUCACAUGCAGUAGCCAUGAUGCAAUCUCACUUCUAGAAUUAAAACUAUGAAAUAACCUUUAUAAUUAUGAACUGGGGAAAAUAAUUAAACAAUAUCGGUUAUAAAAUUAAAGUGAAAAAUGUAAAAGAGAAAACAAAUAUUUCCAUAUACAUCAACAUAGCAUUUCCAUUUCCAGAUCAUGAAAUCCUUCAGGGAUAGGCGACGUGCCCUUUUCUUUCUAUCUAGUGCAUUAAAGGUAGCAGAAAACUAUUUCUUGAGAUGCUAGAUCUGAAUAAACAUGAAACCUCCACAUAUUCUCAAAACCUCAGUGACAAAUGCCUCAAAAUCAAAUUAUUUCAUCCGUUGACACAACCCAUACAGAAUAAAAAAUGAAAAACAAAGGGAAGGAGAUGGGGAGAGAGCUAGAACUAGGUGAGGUAAAAGGAGAGAGAGCUCACAGAUGAAGCAUCCAAGAUCCCUAUACCUUGUAACCCAUAGAUCUGGGUUCAUUGAAUCUUUCUUGAAUUGAAGAAGCAAACCCCUUUUGUACACCAAAAUAGAAUGAUACACUAAUCUGGAUGCAGCUCUGCUCCGUCCAGCCGAUUGCUUUUUGUCCUCCCACACAAACUGUUUCUGUCUAUUUGUCGGAUCAAAUCCCUUUGUAAGAAAAAUAUGUUCAACAUCAUAAGCUCUCGUUGUCUCUCACUGUCGGAAGGAGCUAAAUUGGUGGACAAGCUUUGGGCGGGAAAAAAGGAGGCGCGAAUAUUGGGUAGCUCUAAUAAGGAUAGGAACUAACCAAAGGAUCUCUCCUCUACAGCCACCUACCGGUAACUGAUAAAGACCCAUAUAGAGAGAAAAAUAUAUUCUUCUUCUUCUUCGUUCGUCAAUCACACACACAUAGACAAAGAAAGAAUGAGAGAAGCGGUAAAGUCAGAGGAACUAAC
rnacentral:misc_RNA from 1 species